GCAGAGGGGAGACCAGGAGAGGGGAUAACAUUUGCUAUGUAAAUAAUUAAAAAUAUUCAAUUAAAAAAAGAAAUUAGAAAGGCAGAGCAAACUAAACUCAAAUAUACAAUAAUCAACACAUCAUAAAAAUUAGAGCAGGAAUACAUGAAACAGAGAAUGAAAACAAAGCUUAGGAGGGCUCUUUGGAUACAUCAACGUUUAGUUAGACUAACCAAGAAAAAAAAAAAGAAAGAGUGUUACAAUAAAAAGUGAAACAGAGGCAUUACUAUUGAGUAUAUAAAAAUAAAUAAGAAAUGUGUACCAUUGUUCAGUGUCUGAAAUAAGACUGGAUUUAUCAUUAUUUGUGGCCAUUAGUCUUAAAGACAAGUUGCUACAAUCUAGACUCUCCCAAGAAGAGAGAAAUCUUGUAGCUCAGUUUGGCAUGUGGGUAUAUCUGUAGGGGAUUGUCUGGACGAACAACUUCAGGAGACUAACUGGACUGGCACAUAGCUCCCUGAAGCUGCUUAAUUAACUUCCUGUCUCCCAAACCUCACAUAUAAAUCCCAAGUGUAGCCCUUUCCCUUGGCAGACACCCUUUUCCACUGUGUCUGCUCCUUGAUGUUUGAAGUAAACACUGUAGUCUGUUGGAGUCAGUCUCUCGGCUAUUCUGCCUUCUUUAAGCUCCUUCAAAAUCUAAAAACAGUCAGUGUUAAGAUGUUGGCUUUUUUUAAAAAAUAUCAUUCUAAUGUUUUUACUAUUUUAUGAAAGACAGAAUAAAAUAAGGAGCAUUUAAAGGACAGUAUAAACCUUUGUUUUUGUUUAUUUGUUUUCUACUUACAAUUGCUGCCUUCCUGUGGGUCUUCUAGUCUGUGCUAUUUUUCUAGUUUCAGUAAAUCAUACCAAAGAGCCUCCAGUUCUUGGUGGCUUUCUACUGCUUACUAAGGAUCUUUGUGGUAGUGUCUGAGAAACAAGAAACAGAGUGAGAGAAUCAUCAGUCUGGUAAAUCUGUGGAAUUAUUUUUAACUUGUGGGUAACUAAAACUCUCCUGAAAUAGGGCUCAGUAUUUACCUUUGUGACACCAAAACAAAUAGCUGUGUGCAUGAAUUUAUCUCAAAUCCAAGAAUCUCUGUUCAUGGAAGCAUGAGCUGCUAUGUAUGGAAUAAGGCAAUGUUUGCAGUUCCUGCUUAUUCAGUGUGAAUGGUACAUGCAAGUGCACAGGUAUGUUUGCCUGUGCCUGAGCAUAUAGAGAUCCAAUGUCCUUUUCUGGUCUAUACAGGGACCAGGCAUGCAUGAGGUAUAUACAUACAUGCAGGCAAAACUCCCCAUGUGUAUAAGAUUAAAAUGAAUGUCUUUAAAAAUAAAUUAUAAGUUUUUUAAAAAGUAUGGCAGGGGAGAAGAGUCUAAAUCAGCAGGGCACAGAUUUAACAUGAAGAGGAAGAAACAACAUUCUAAUCAUGCAAGGAAAUGAGACGAUCAACAGAGUUACAGGAGCCAGGCAAAUCUUUCUUACAGAGGUUUCAGUAAUAAUGCUUAAUGCAAAGAAUCUUAACACUGUGGUGGGAAAACGCAAACUAGGAGAUUGAAUUUAAAAGAAAAGACUUGUUCAUUGUCCAGAAGAAACACACCUCACUAGCAAAGACACACAGAGAAAGGGAAAGGAUAUAGCCAACAGACCAAAUGAAUAGAAGCCAUCUGGUUUUCUAUAAGAGGCCCAGAAAAACACAUGAGAAAAACACUUCCUAUUCAACAAAUGGUGGAGGAAAAAUGUGGUGUUCAUAUCUCAAAGAAUGGGACUAGAUUCCUACCUCUCAUUUUAUACAAAACUCAAUUUAAAAAGAAUGGAAGAAUUCAGUGGAAUUCAGAGAUCCUGAAGCCACUAGAGAAAAAACUUCAAGGUCCAGGAAUAAUUUGCUUAUCUUUCUGAAAAAGAUUCUAAUAUCGAGAAGUAACAGCAAGAAUUGUCAAGUGAGACUGCAUGUGACGACAGAAAAGGGAAGUGUUGGUGGAGCAAAGAGGUUUCAGAAUGGGAGAGAUUUCCGCCAGCUGUGCAUACAGCUGUAGUCAAUAGCUAGCAUCUGUAAAUGAUUAAAGAAUCAAAUAUCUCCAAUAAUCCAAUAAAAAUAAAUGAAUUUAUUGGUCAGACAGUUCUCAGAAGCAGAAAUACAGAUGAAAAUGGGUUCACAUCCCUAGCUAUCAAGGAGAUGCAGAGCAAACAGCCUGGGGAGCCCAUCCAUCUCACCUGUCAGAACAUCAUCCAGAAGCCAACAAGAUGUUUCAUCCUGCAAAAGUGAUUGCCAUAUAAGUCCACCACCCAGGCUCGACCCCCGAAACAUGGGGGAGGAGAGAACCAAUACACGCGAUGGCACGCACACACACACACACACACACACACACACACACACACGCACGCACACGCAUACACACACACGAACACACACACGCACGCACACACACGCGCGCGCGCACACACGCGUGCACACACACCACACACUAAAAAUGAGAAGAAAUCAAACAAAAAAGUGCUGGUAAGAACUCUGGGAAAGGAACCCUUGUACAUUGAAGGUAGGAAUGGAAAUUAGUGCAGCUAAUAUAGUAAUUAGUAAGGAGGUUCCUGAAAAUAUAAACUAAAAAUAGAACCACCAUACAGUCUACUUUUGCUGUGUACCCAAAGCAAUCUGAAUCCCACACCAUGGAGACAACGGUGUGUGUGUGCUUAUAGAAGCACUAUGUGCAAAAGCUAAAAUAUGGGAUUGUCCUAGAUGUCCAUAAGCCGACGAGAAAAUGUGGUACACACACACUGAAGUUUUAUGUGACAAUAAAUAACAAAUGAAAUCACACAGUUUAAGGAAAAUGGAUGAAGCUUCCAUGGCGGCGCAUGCCUUAAAUCCCAGCACUUGGGAGGCAGAGGCAGGUGGAUCUCUUGAGUUUGAGGCUAGCCUGAUCCACAGAGUGAGUUCCAGGACAGCCAGGAUAAUGUAGAGAGACCCUGUUUCAAAAAACACUCAAAACCAAGCAUCACCACCAAAAGGAAAAUGGGUGAAGAUGGAGUUUGUCAGGUUAAGUAAAACAAGCCAGACUCAAAUAAGUAUAUUUUAUCAUAUAUAAAAAUUAUAUGUAAAUGCCAUGAAAGUCAAAAGGGGACUGGUUGGCUGGGUAGAGGAGGAGCAGUAAGUGGGAGAGUCGCUGAGAACAAAGGGAAGACAUGGCUCACAUGUAUGCAUUCUCCCUUUCGUGCAGAAUCAUAUCUACAUGUGCCAUGAAAGCAGAGAAGGGACAUUUGGAGGAAGGAGAGCGGCCAGUGAAAGGGGACACAGCAGAGGGUAAUGGGUGGCUAUGAGCAGAGAAUAAUGACACACAUGUGUGAGGUUACACGAUGCAACUAGUUAUUUUGUAUGAUAACUAAAAAUUAUCUAAUAAAAACUUAAAAUAUGUAUAAAAAAGCUUCCAAGCCUUACUACAAGCCAAAGCAUGUUAUAUGAUAUGUUCAAAUUGAUCUGAUUUAUGCUAAAAGAAAGACAAGGGGCACAAAAAUGCCUAGAAAAGUGUGGAAAAAAGGGACUGGGAAAGAGGGAGUUUUCACUUGACAAAGCUCCACACUGAUUAGUCUACAAUGAGGGCAAUUUGAAAGGAUGGCUCAUCAGUUAAGAGCACUGGAUGUGCUUCUGUGUGGCCUUAGCUUCUAUUCCCAUCACCACACGGUGUCUCACAACUCUACAUGACUCUAGUUCUAAGGAAUCCAGUGUAAAAGUCAUGAAAUCGUUGAUUUAUAGACUCAGUGAGCUCAGGUCUCAGCUAUAGAAGACAGAGUUGCUGGCCCAGAGAGCCUUGGUCCAAACCCUGACCUCAGCGCUCUGUACUUUUGCAGAGUCUUCUGUAGUUCUGCCGUCCAUCUUUAGGGGCUUGGACCAUGAGACUGCCAUGACAGCCUGCAUGCAUGAUUCCUCUUCUGUAGUUCUGCUAUCUGUCUUUAGGGGCUUAGGCCAUGAGACAACCAUCGCCAACUCCCUCCUUUGGGCCAGACAGUCUUGAUGUCUUCCCUGGUGGUUAUGGAAUUGAGAUGGGAAAUUAAGAAUGUAACUGUUUCAGGCGAUGGAGUCUGGAACCCACGAGGCUUGUUAAUGAUAUCCAUUUUCAUUAUCAGCAGACCUCAGAGCCAGGAUUCCUGCUUUACUCCACAAAGUUGUUGUCUGACUGCCAGCUCUGUGGUCCCAAGAGCCAGCUUGAAGGAUGAGUCCCAGAGGGCCUGACUCCAGGGAGGCGAUGAUGCUUUAAUGAGCCAUGGUUCAAUUCCUCUUUGGCUCUUUCUACCAACUCCAGGUGGGAUGCCUCUAUAGAUCACUGGAUAGACCGGAUCUGACAGGUAAGAUGGCUGUGGAUGGAGGACCCAGAAGCAGGCAAAGGCUAGGGUGAAAGAUAAGGUCCAGGGCACUGGGAACUUGUAGGGCCAUAGUGCAGUCUGAGGUCACCCACCUUAGGGGAGAUGUCCUGGUUCCUGGAGUCACAUAAGCUGUGUACCUGGUCUGCAUGACUGACCCUGCAUCAGACAUCGUGGUAGGCCAAUCAGAGAUUGUAGGAGACUGAAGGUCUGGGAGAAGGACUUGCCAAGAGGCAAAGCCUAUGACACUAGAGACCUGGAGUUACUUAACAGAGACACCCUUCAACAUUCAGAGUCAAGGUAGGGAAACUUCAGGUCAGAGAGGGGGAGGCUUAGGUAUGGAGACAAGAUAGAAACCAGGUCUAUGCUGGAAGCUAAUAUACUUACAUUCCAAGCCUCACACACGCCUACCUUUUCUGUGGGAAUAGCGCAAUCAGCCUUGUGAGAGCUUGUGUGGAGUUUCAGGUUACAGAGAAGUGCAAUGCCCCAGAAUUAAGCUUGCCAUUGGGGCUUAAAAAUGGAACCUGGCUUGGGAAAUGUUCUGUCAGUAAAGUGCUUGCAGCAUAAGUAUGAGGACUUGAAUUCAGAUGCCCGGCAGCCACAUAAAAACAGGGAAUGGUAGCAGCCAGGCACUCAGCUACAACCCCUGUGCUAGAGGAAGGGCAGGAGGUGACAGCUGGGUCCCCAGAACUCCCUGGGCAGCCAGGGCAGCUGAACAGUGAGCUCCAGAUUCAGUGAGAGACCCUUCCUCAGAAACAUGAGGAGAGUGACUGAGGGCCUCUGGCCACAGACAGACAGACAGACAGACAGACAGACAGACAGACAGACACACACACACACACACACACACACUAACUGGGACAGUUCUUGAUAUCUAUUUUUAGGGGUGUGGGCCAUGAGACAGCCACCCCUAAACCUCCUUUUCAGCCAGAUGCACAGAGGACCUCGAAAAUAUGUAUUGGAUUAGAGGAGAUGGUCUUUUUUAUAAAGUCCUAUUUUACAGAUGUGCAGAUGAGCUCAGAGGCCCAAACACAGCAAUCAAGGCAGAAGGCUGGUCCAGCAGGCAGGACUCUUGCUUGCCAGAAGGAAGUAUGGGGACUUCAUGACCCAAGCAGAGCUGGAGAAAUCUUCUCGGAGGAGGGAACGUCUGAGAGAGGAUCACAGAAGUACGGGCAAGAGGAGGAGCUUACGGGUAGCCAAAACAAGGAGCUGGGACAUUUGGGGUUCAAGACCCAUCUCUGCAAGGAGUUUGCUGGCUCCUCUAUUUCUGGCCUUGAGCCUCGACACCAUCCUGUCUCACUGUUUAACAGAUGAAGCAGAGGAGGGGAAGAGGAUGCAAUUGGAUUUGAUGGCUUUGAACUUCUGUCCUUCGAGUCCCAGUUCGAUCCAAGCCCAUGGCAUUCAAUGCACAAUGACUUCUUUGACCUUUCUAGACAUUCAGGGAAAUGAAGUUUGUAUGUCUUCGUAGUUAGGUAAUGAGGUGGUGGGCACCGGCAGGUUGGGUCAUCGUGAGUUAAUUCUCUGCUGUUUGUUUUUCUGCUCUGUUGGUGGAGGGUCAGAUAAACAUGUCACCAGCCUUCACUGUUAAUGGAGAUGCAGGCACAUCUUCACUUCACAUUUAAGAGAUUGACAAACGUCCUCUGAGGUGCCAACGAGGUGGCACUGUCAGCCACAGAAAUAGAAAAAGUGAGGCAAAGCCUUACCCCAUCCCUUCUCUCACGACACCUGGGCUUCCGGACACCCUAAGGAAAGCAAGACAAAACACAGGGUUGGUGGGGAGGGCUCCAGGCUCUGUCCUAACUCUGUGGCUGACUAUUGGUGUCCAUUGGAAUCAGGCCUGAUCUAUAUUCAAGUUCUUAAUUUCAAAUAUUGGACACUUUAGUUCUGGGGUAUUUUUAAAAAUAGAUUCCAAUUUUCUGCUGGAAUUCUCUAGUCAUUUCACAGCAUUUUCCGCUAUAGAAUGUGAACCUUCAUACUAAUGUCCUUAUUUACUCACUUAGGGAUCUAGACUUUUAAAGUUAACUGAUUUAUUUUUACAUGUUACUUCUGUUUUGUAGUAUUGGGAAUUGAAUCCAGGGCCUUGUACAAUGUGAAUGCUCUACCAUGAGGCUACCCCUCCCCAACCUUAGAUCAUUUGUAUAUCAUUUACAGUAUAUUUCCCCCUUUGGUCAUAUUCUCCCAACUUUGCAUAUCUAAUAACGUUCAUUGUGGGCUGAACACUAAUAACAAUAGAUGUAUUGGACACUGUGGAUAACCAGUCUCACCAGACACACUUCCCAUUUUUCUCUCAGGCAGGUAGAGUCAGGUACUGAGC
ensembl:lncRNA